UUCAGGGGUCGUAUCGGUGGAGGAGCCAGACGGCAGAGCGGAAGUGAGAGACGAGGGAACGGAGUCGUCGCCGCACCGCCGAGCGGUGGAAGAGAGCGGGCUAGGGUUUCGAAUGGGUUUCGUAGACGGUGAAGGAGGAUAGGAUCUUGAUGUGCUGGUCUCAAUCACGGUACCUUGAACCAUAGGAGGUUCUUGUUUCUUUGUUACUUUUAUUUUCAGUAUUUUCAUUUCAAUUCCAUUGCAGCUUAUAUUGUUUUAGCAAGGGGUUUGAUCGAUUGCGGGAGGGUUAUCAUUUCUUGGUUUACUUCUUUUAUUUCUCGAUUUGCGAUCUUGAUCUUGACUGGAUGGGAGGUCGUCAUGAUGUAAGGGGCAUAGUGAAUCAAUCAAAUACAUUUUUUAUCAAUCAAAUACAUUUUUUUUUACUUCAUCGUGAUUUAUACUCUGCUUGUGGAUAUACGACGAGUGCUGGUAUCUAGACUAAUAUGGAGGAAAAUCUUUAGCCGAGUAGGGAGCUCUGUUAACCCUACAAUUGCAGGACCCAGAGACGGUGAAAUUAAUGGAAGGAUAAUUUCAGGUGAAAAUGUAAUCCGUUCUGAUCCUUUUUCAAAUAAAAAGUCUGAAGUCAAUAGAUUUUGAUAAUAUGACAUCUUUUCAGUGCCUGUUACUCUUUAUGCUUUCAUGUCUUGAAAAGGUGAGGCUUGCAACUAGAGUAAAUUUCAGUACUACUGUUAUUUUGGUUAUAGAAAUUCUUCCUUUUUUUUCUUUCUUGUAACAUAUUGAUCAAUUGUCUUGUUCUAUGAUGGAUCUAUCUGUAUAAGCUUUGUUUGCUGGUGGUCUUCAUGCAGUAUAUAGUACUGAUCUAAAUGAUUCUUGAGAUGUCCCACAUAACAAUCUCUUCGGGAAUUUUGAUGCAUUUUUUACAGCUUGAUUUGAUACUUUGCUGGCGAUUUUGUCUUGGACUGGAGCUCAAUAUUACCAAGUUCGGCUACUGCUGUGCUGGUGGUCCGGAUUGGUUGUUGAUCUCGUAGUUCUUACUCUUUCACAUCCUUGAGGAAACCUCUCUCUCUCUCUCUAUAUAUAUAUAUAGAUAUAUCUUUGACAUAGAUUAAAUCUUUUGUUGUUCUACUAAUCACAAUGCUGGAAGGUUGCAUGGAAUUGUUAUAUUGCAUGUUCUUUCUUUCUUUCUUUCCUUAAAGUGCUUGAUAAAAUUCUUAUUUUCUGUGAAAUAUUAUUAUGAUAUUUACUGAUGUUUGUGAUGAUUUCAGUGUUGGAAUGCCUGAGUAGAAUUAUUACCUGCAGUUUCUUUCUCUCUUUCUGGCUUUCUGUUCUCUGCUUCAUGCACUUCUAAUUCUUUUUUGGAAAAAAUGAUUUUGUUAUGUUUAAGAUGUGUUUAGUGAUUUCAAUAUUGGAGGACUUAUUUCACACACAAAAAGUUUGAAUGCUUGGAUGGAGCAUCUGGACGAGGCUUCUUGGUUAUGGUUAGUGGAAAUUGAGAGUGGAUUGAAAUCUAUAAUUAGUUUUCUGCUUGUGCAGUGAAGAUAAUAUUUGUCUUACGUUGCUUCACAUCACGCUUCUUUCUCAAGAACAGGUGUGAUUCUGUUCAUUUUUUGAUUGGAUUUUCUCUCAAGUUUCUAUUGAUCUGUUAGCUUUUUUUUUAUAUAAUUCCCAAUUAUCUGUCUUCUUCAAUAUGUAAUUGUUAAUAGAGUCAAGCUGCUUGCGAUAACAUUGCUAAUGGUCAUAUUUAUUUGUAUGCUAUCAAGCAUCAGAUUACAAAAGUUUCCACUGACAACACAAUAGCUAUCAGCAGGUUUGAUGUGCUGAUUAAUUGUUUAUUUAAUAUUUGUAGUGCUUGAUCUGCAUUUAUUAGUCUGAUUACUUCUUAUUUACUUUGUAUAUAGAUUUGUUUUCCUGAUACAUUUGAGCUUGCAUUGGUUAUAUUGGGCUGGAAAUUGGAAUCUUGUAGGAGAAUGGCUAAUAUAAGGAAGAAGUGCGUUUAGAUCAUUAUUUGCAGCCCCUAAUAUUUUUUCGUGAAAUUGCAUACAAAAGAAGUUUUCCAUUAUGUUAAUUUUUGGUUUUUCAUUACUUGCUGCUUUAAUUAUAAGGUAUGGCUGACUUUGCUUGUGAUCUCGAAAUGAUAAUUGAAGGGAUUAAAACCUAUUUGCUUUGUAGUUAGAUGCAGUUGUUCUUGCUCAACAACUUCAAAAGUGAUCUUUGACCAAGGUUCCUCGGAUCUUUGUUUCAAGUACUGCUAUGCUACUAAUGCUGUUACCUGUGCUAGCUUAUAGUUGCUUUAACCAUGUUUUGUUCUUAGAAUUCUAGCUUAUAUUCUGCUUGGUUUCGACAACUAGUUACAACAUUCUCUUUGAAAUUUUGAACAUAUUGAUCUUUGUUCUUUCAGUCAUUUACUAAUCAAUAUCUGAACAUAAUUAUGUUGUUGAUUGUUGGGUGUUCUCUAUUUGCCAUGCUUCUUCAUGGCACAUCGACUUGGUAAGAUGCAGUUAUUAACUUUUGUCUGACAAUUAGUAAUAGAUUAUGGAAGGUCUUCUUCUAAAAAAGUAUUUUUCAGAUUGAGCAAUUGAUGAAUUUCCAAGUCUGGCUAAAAUAUGAGAGACUGAUUGGCGGGGCAAAUCUGUCUUUCUCAAUGUCCAAUAUUCAUGUCUAAUAUGUUUCCCAGAAAUGGGCAUCACCAGGACAGGUGUAUCACCAAAUAUAGAUAUCUGUAAUUGGCCAAAAAUUGUUGAGGAGAAUAAAUGGGGUAUGUUCUCGGGGUAUUGACAAGACCCUCAUGUCUAAUCAGAUUGGACAUUGCUGAAUGGAAGGUAAUUUAAGGUAUGGUGCUCUAGAUUAUGCUUACAUACUAUAUUGUAGAAAGAAUAUGUGACUUGUUUUGACCCUGUCAUUGUUUUAUAAUUUUCAGUUGACACUCAUUGUUUUAUAAUUUUCAGCAAUUAGGAACUGCAUUAUGUUUUUUCUCCCUGGAUCUGCGGAAGUUGGCGUGUUCAAAUUUUUUAACACUAUACAUUAGGGAUAUUUGCCUAUUAAGAAUUUUUGGGGCUGUAGAAUAGUGAUAUAGACAUUGUAAUACCUCUAUAUAUAUAUAUCCCUAUAUAAUCAUCCAUGUCAAUUGUUAUUAUGUUAAAUUGUUUGUCUUUAAUUUAUGCUAUCAUUCAACUUGUCCAUGAUUUUUGGACGAAUCAUUUGUUUCAAAGAGCUUGUUAUGCUAGCAAUGGGUCAGAUUUAGGUCUGAUCAUUAUUGGAUCCAAAAACAAACUUAAAAUCCAGAUCUAGAUCCAUUACCUAGAAGGAUCGGUGGCUCCUUUACAAGCUCCAAUUAUUGUAUUGGGACCUCCUAAGAUGUUACCCUGCUUGAAGGGGAUUUUUGCUUUAUGAGCCACCAGGUUCUGGCAAGAUCCUCAUGACUUUGUCAGAUUGGGAAAUUAUUGUAUGGAAGGAAAUUAAAAAGGUAUGGUACUCAGAAUCAUUCUUCCAUACUAAAUUGUAAAAGGAAUGCCUGAAUUUUUUACAUUGUUAUCCUUUUAUUAUUUUCAACAAUAUGGAAAUGCAUUAUGUAUUUUUGCCCUGGAUCAGUGGAAUGGACAUUAGUAAAUGUUUCUAGACUUCAUUUCAGCAAGAAGUUGGCAUGUUUGAAGUGUUGAACACUAUAGAUGGGGGAAAAGUGCCUGUUAAAAAUUUUAGUGAUGGUAGAAUAGUGAUAUAGAUCAUAAUACUAGAAUAUAUCACUAUCUAAUCUUCUAUUCCAGUUGCUGUGAUAUAAAUUGUUUAUCUUUAAUUUAUGCAAUCGAUUAACUUGUCCAUGGUUUUUAGAUGAUUCAUUUGAUUCAGAUUUUGGAAGCUUAUGUUAGCUCUAGCGGUGCGUAAAAUUUAGGUUUGGUCCUUCUUCUAUCCAGAUCUAGAUCCAAUUCAAGGUUGGUUGUCCCUUUACAGGUUGUGAUCUUUGAAUUUGGACCACCUAAAAUGUUACUGUGCUUGAAUUUUUUUCCCCUUCUUUUAUCCUUUUCUCUUUACUUUUUAAUCCCAUUAUUACUGACAAAUUUGGUUACCAUUCUUACCUGAGAUAAAAUUAUAUUUAAUUUUGAAUCACACACACAUACGUGGAAAGAUAUAUAGAAAGAGAAUGCUUAUUGUGAUCCACAUAAUAGGUCUUAGUUAGAAAAUCUCAUUGUUUGAAACUGCAAAGAAUUAAAGGAUGUGGAUUGUCAGGUUAGUCAUUUCCUUUCGGGUAAUCUUUAAGAGAAAAUAGUCACAAGCUGUUAUUUGCUUGCUUACCAGUUGGAACUGUCUCAUAUUAACUGUUACUAUACCAUCAUUGUGUCUUAUUUUGGAUAAAAUUCUCUAGUUGUUUAUGGGCUUGAAGUCUUGAGUAAUUCGGUAAGACAACAGAAAAAGAGAGAUUUAUUUUCUGAUGCUGAGAAAGACCAGAAGGACUCGAGAUGUUCAGCCUUCAUGAUCUCUUUUCUAAGCUGUGUAUGUUACUAGCCCUGAAACCGAAACCCUAAACCGCAUUUUUGAUUAUUUUACGUGUUUAUGUUUUCAGGUGAUCAAAGAUGGUACAUGUUAUAAUUUUUGAGAAGUUGAUGCUAUAAGUGAAGGUAGAAACUAUA